rnacentral:rRNA from 1 species
GAUGAACGCUGGCGGCGUGCCUAGUACAUGCAAGUCGAGCGAACAGACGAGGAGCUUGCUCCUCUGACGUUAGCGGCGGACGGGUGAGUAACACGUGGAUAACCUACCUAUAAGACUGGGAUAACUUCGGGAAACCGGAGCUAAUACCGGAUAAUAUAUUGAACCGCAUGGUUCAAUAGUGAAAGACGGUUUUGCUGUCACUUAUAGAUGGAUCCGCGCCGCAUUAGCUAGUUGGUAAGGUAACGGCUUACCAAGGCAACGAUGCGUAGCCGACCUGAGAGGGGUGUCAGCCCCCCCGGGAACGAGCCCCGGCCCAGGCCCCCUGCGGGGGGCCCCAGUGGGGAUCUUUCCGAAAUGGCGGAAACUUGAACGGAACAACCCCGGGUGGGUAAUAAGGUUCUCCGAAUCUAAAACCUUUUUUAUUGGGGAAAAAAAAAGUUUAACGUAAAUACGCCCGUCUUGACGGCCCUUAAUAAGAAAGCCCCGCCUAACUCCGUC